UACAGAGGUCUCAAGCGUUUGUUCGGAUUCAUUGGGCGUAAAGGGUGCGUAGGUGGCGCCGUAAGUCGGGUGUGAAAUUUCGGAGCUUAACUCCGAAACUGCAUUCGAUACUGCGGUGCUUGAGGACUGGAGAGGAGACUGGAAUUCAUGGUGUAGCAGUGAAAUGCGUAGAGAUCAUGAGGAAGACCAGUGGCGAAGGCGGGUCUCUGGACAGUUCCUGACACUGAGGCACGGAAGGCCAGGGGAGCAAACGGG
rnacentral:rRNA from 1 species